GCCUUCGUGGCGUAACGGUAGCACACUCGGCGCGUAUUCGAGAGGUCCAGGGUUCAAAUCCCGGCGAGGGCC
rnacentral:tRNA from 1 species